CCGCCGCACGUCCCCCGGCCGGUCGGCCGGCCCCCCCGCCAUGGGUCGGAAGCGCUGCGUGGGGGGAGACGGCUCCAAGAUGGCGGCGGGUUGCUGCGGGGUGAAGAAGCAGAAACUCUCCAGUUCCCCUCCCUCGGGCUCGGCCGGCCCGGGAGGCGGCGGCAGCGGCUCCCACUGCGGCGGGGCGGCGGCGGCGGGGGGCGAGCCGGGGGCGCUGCCCCCGCCAGGGGGUCCCCGCCUCAACGGCCUCGGGGGGCUGGCGGGGGGCGCCGCCGGCUGCGCCCUCUCCCCGCCGCUGCCGCCCAGCUGCGGCGGGGGCCCCGCCGGCCUGUCCCCGCCGGCCGCCUCGCUGCUCUCCUCCCCCGGCGCCGGCUCCGGCGGGCCCGGCUGCAGGAAGAUGGUGGUGUCGGCCGAGAUGUGCUGCUUCUGCUUCGAUGUGCUCUACUGUCACCUGUACGGCUACCAGCCCCCGCGGAGCCCCCGCUUCACCAACGACCCCUACCCACUGUUUGUAACGUGGAAGAUUGGUCGAGAUAAACGAUUGCGUGGAUGCAUAGGUACUUUUUCUGCCAUGAACCUGCAUUCAGGACUCAGGGAGUACACGCUUACUAGUGCCCUUAAAGAUAGUCGUUUCCCCCCCAUGACGAGGGAUGAGCUGCCACGGCUUUUCUGCUCAGUGUCUCUACUCACUAACUUUGAAGAUGUAUGUGACUACAUGGACUGGGAGGUGGGUGUACAUGGCAUUAGAAUAGAAUUCAUCAAUGAAAAAGGAUCAAAACGCACCGCCACCUACUUACCGGAGGUUGCAAAGGAGCAAGGUCAUUGUUGCACUUUAUUUCAUAUGAUCUGGUGAAGAAUUUAAACGUACAUAUAAAUCUAAAAUGCAAUAUUUGACCUUGCACUGAUGUCAGAUGAUGGAGCAAUAUUUAAUUGAUGGGACCACAUUCAAACCAUAGAUUCCUUAUUGAGGAAAGGAGGCUACAAAGCUCCGAUUACUAAUGAAUUCAGGAAAACAAUAAAGCUAACCAGGUACCGUAGUGAGAAGAUGACGAUGAGCUACACAGAGUACCUUGCCCAUCGUCAGCAUCAUCACUUCCAAAAUGGUAUUGGGCACCCCCUUCCACCAUACAACCAUUAUUCCUGACACUGAGCCGCAUGACCAGUCACUGGACCUCUCUGCAGACCUCUUCCCAGGAGACCCUGCCCCUUCUUGGUCUAGCUAUCUCUAUUACUGUACCAUUUUAUGAUGAUAGUUUCCGUUGCCAUGUUGAGGCUUCUCAGUUGGUUAAGCCCAUCAUGGCAACGGGAGGGAAAACUGCAUUACUACAAAGAUCCCAUACUUUUUUUAUUACUGAGUCACUGCAGAUUUUUUUGCAGCAUAUAUAGCCCUUGGGUUUUUUAUGAAAUUUUAAAUUUCUACUUCAUUAACAUUGAAUUAUAUCAAUCAAGGCUUUCUGUGACUGUGGAUGGAAGGAAGAGCUUAAGGAUUACAGUUAGGGAUGCUUUGCUUAGCAAAAAGGCAUUCAUGGCUUUUGCAUUAGUAGGUGUGACAGGGAAUGAAACAUAUCAGAUUCAGGUAUUCUACUAGACAAUGAGUUGCAUUUUCAUAACGUUCUUAAUAAUGUUUUGUGUACAAUAGUUCACCCCCACAGUAAAGAGUACAUGUAGCUAUAUACAUGAUCUCCAGAUCCAGCACAUGCAGCCAAAAUGUCAAGGCUGACAUCCAAAAUGCUUUUUUGGAUGAAGAGAAGCAAUUAGGUGUUCAAUAGAGGUGAUGUUAAACAUGGCAGCAUUUUCCCAAUCAAGGGGUUGAAUUGAUAGGGCACAACAUAAUCCAGUUGGCCACCAGGUUCCUUUGUGUCCUGCCCUGUGCUGGGAAUUGCGGGCAAUCCAGCCCUGUCAAGACUAGUCAUGAUGAUGCAUUUGUAAUGAGAUGAUGCCUUUCUGAUGAUCUCAAAUUAGGAGUGACAUUUGUGUUCAAAAACAGGUUGGUGAGUAGCAGAUGUCAUACUAGGAAGAAAAUGGAUUUAGAUUUUAGUGCCUUUGUCUAUGACAUAACUAUAUACUUAUAUAUAAAAUUCAUAGAAAAAAUAUAGCAAACACACCAGACAUUGUAGCAAACUGUGUUCAGUCUGCUCUGGUGUCAGGUUUUUGGGGAUUUUUUUUAAGUGAGGGUUUUUUUAUUUCUAUAGCAAACCUAUUUUGGAAAACAAAAAUCCCUGUUUUGUUGUUCUUCUGCUUUGGAACUUGUUGAGUUUUCUCAAGUCAUGAAUAGUUAGAGAAAGUUAACUAUUGUUUAAAAAAAGAAAAAAGAGCACAGGACAAGUAUGUCAUAAUUUUACAUGUUUUCAUCUAUUACAGGAAUAGUACUUGAGAGCUGUAAGUACUGUGUAAUAAUUCCGAUACCCCUCCACACGGUAGAAGAAAGAGAACGGAUUGGAACUUUUUCCUGCUGUAAAAAUAGGAUUUAGUAAAAGGUAUGUGUGGUGUAUUUGCAAGGCCAAUAUGUGGUAGGGGCUAGCUCCUUGCUCAUGUGCCUGCAGAACCCCCACUGAUACCUGCUGUAGCUCAGUGCAUGUUCUAGGGGACAACACAUGCCAUCUAUUACAGAAAAGACCUUCCUAAUAUGCGUGAGUAAACCACAGUAAGCAGAAAUUCCAGUUAUUUUGAAUAAUGAAUGUUUGUAAAUAUAUAGCUAUAUAAAAUUCCGUAGAUAAAAUCAAUUAAAAUUCAGUUGUUUAAAAAAAAAAAAAAUCAGACAAAUUGUAAAAAAGGUUUCAGUAGGGUUUCAAAACCAGAUAUGGCUAAAUCCUGCUCAUCCCUUAUGUGAGGUUAGCUUUGCCACUUAAUUUCUAUGGAGGUUCUUGUAGAAGGUCUUUGGUAUUCCUUCAUCCACAGCAUCCGAUGUCCAAAUAUUAACAUUUUCAGUUGUGAUGCCUUAAUUUAUAAGCAGAGGGCCUGAAAUUUCAGGAGCCAAGAGAUGCCAGCCAGAAGCUGCAAAAAUUAAUAGAUGUUUAUACAGAGGCUAUUUUGGAUGAUACUGUUAUCUUGUUUCUACUUGGGGAACACUUUUCAAUGGCUUAGUCUUCAAGUGGAAAUGGUGAACAAGUGGCUACCUGAUAGAGUUGUGUUGGUUUGGGUUUUUUUCCUUGCCCUUAUAGGGAAACUGAGCACAAACUGAAUCAUUCUGCUGCAAAAAACGAAAGUCAUCCAAGCCCAUCUUUACCUGUCAUCUCGUCACAGCUCAUGCUUCAGCAUGAGCUCCUUGUUAGAAGUUUUUAAAAAAGCUCUAUUAUAUAUAGAAAUAUAUAUGUAUGAAAGGUGCUAAUCAACCUCAAGAAGGUCACGUGACUGGUCAUGCGGAUCUAAAAUCAUAUCAGAUUUUUUAAAAGCUCUUCGAUAUAUGCAGAUGUUAUACAGAAUUUCUUACCAGUGUAAUAAUGAUAUACUGAUGAAUAAACAAUCCUGCAGGUUUUUAAGGACAAGGUCAGCAAUACUUCCCACCAUGGCUUGGGGGAGAAAAGGAUAGUUUUGUCUCCUUUUUGUAUCCAGCAUAAUGCACAAUGCAUUUUUGUCUAUCUCUUAGUAGCUGUUGCUUACAAAUAUAGUUAAAAGGGUGUUAUACAAACUGUAAAGGUGUGCUUUUGAAAUGAGUUAAUGCCAGACCCUUCUGGACCAGAGUUUUGUAUCACUGAUUAAAAACUGUUACAGAGCCUGUGGUCAAUCAGACUGUAUGCUAUUUUUUGGGAAGGAUUGGAAUAAUCAGUCUAUCUACAAUGUUUCUAGGGCACCUACCUCCUCAGCAUGCAAGUGCUGAAAAUGCUACGGAUUGUUUCUGUGUAAUUGUGGGUUUGUUUGUACGAAACGUGCAGUUCACUGUGACAUGCACUGGGACAGAAUAGGUCUGUUUGCUUAAAGCUGAUCAACAAUUACUUCCACCAGUGUCAGUCCCUCGUAGUUAUGUUUAGUACCCAUUUAUGUAUUGCUGAUUCUAGAUGCAGAUUUUACAGUAUUUGUUGUUGUCUCUAAUUUGGGUACUUGAUCAGAAGUGAAGGUACAACCAAGUAGCUGAAUUAAUUUUAAGUUGGAAUGCUGAUUUUUUUUUUACACUACUCAGUUUGCCUUAUUCCAUUACGGAGAUUGUUGGGGGUUUUUUUAAUUCUUUUGCAUAAUGUUCCUAAAACCCUGUUCUGUAAACUGAGUUAGACAACAAAACCAUAGACUUGACAUGCAACUAUUACUUAGUCAUGCUCCAAGUGGCCUUCCUUCUGCCUGGCCUGCUGUAGCACUGACUUCUCACCAUCUCGACCCCGCUGCUGAUCACAGCAGGGGAGGGCACACUAGAGCUCUGACCUCAGAUACACUAUAAAAUCAAGGCAGGCGAAUCCAUUUGCACACCUGGCGUUUGUAUACGGACCUCUUUACUUGUCUUCAACUGUGCGGGUUUUUAAAGUUGUUGUCUGGAGUAGGUUACAUCUCUUAUGUGUGUUAGAUCGAACCAAAGAAGCCUCCAGCCAUGCCCAAAUGCUGCUCCUAAAGCCUGCCUUCCAGUCCUUACUAAAGCCCUGCAGGAUUAAAUGUGUUAACUUUUUUAUUUUUGUACAGUUUCUAACUGAUUUUUGCUAGUGAUGUUAAUGGAAUUACGUUUCUUUGGGGAGGCUGAAUAGCUCCUCCAUUGAAAUAAACUGGUGACUUUCCUUUUAUGUUAAAAAAAGAACAAAAAAAAGUUUAAAAAAAAAAAUAAAAAAAUAAAAAAGAGAAACCCAAAGUGUGCCUCUCAGAUUUAAGGGUUUUUGGUUACAUUUAUUCUGAAGACCAGCAAUGAUUCUUUCUAUACAAAGAUAUGUUUUCCUCGUUUUUUAUUACUGUUGAAGAAAAUAAAAAUAAAGAAGAAAAACCUCUUUCUUUGCUCUGGACCCAGUAAUUGCGCUGGUACAUAAACGCACUGAGAAAACAAACUUUUGUUUGGAACUUUUGUAACAACUUAUGACUGUUUUUGUAUAUCAAAGUUGAUUCUUUUCAAGAUAUUUGGAUCUAGUUUCUAAGUUAUUUUAGUGUUUUAUAUGUUACAAAGAAGAAAAAAAAAAAUUUACUUUAAAUUGUUCACCAGCAUCUUGAGUUAUCUUUAAUGCAAUGGUGACACAAGGGGCUUAGAGCUACCUGGAGUAGCUUGCAAGGCCUCGUCUUUUCCUUCCUUCCUUAGUAACUUGAUUGAUUACAAUAAUAUCACAGAUUACCUGAACCCCCUUCCUUUAUAACUAGAUCCUCCUUCCUUCCACAUUUAAUUGCUAUUAGUGUGAAGAAACUGUUGAAAUGGGCAUUUUAAUAUUAAGUACAGCUUAAAAAGAGAAAAAUGAGGAAAAAGAAAAAAAAAGUUCUAGAAGGUUAUCUGUGGGUCUGUGAGAUAUGGCUGUGGAAAGAUAUUGUAGUAGUUUUAACACUAUUGUUAUUACCUUUUAAAUCAUUUACCCAAUAAAAUACGGAAAAAGAAUCCUCA